GACGAACGCUGGCGGCGUGCUUAACACAUGCAAGUCGAACGAAGUGGCGAACGGGUGAGUAACGCGUAAUCAACCUGCGCUUCAGCGGGGGACAACAGUUGGAAACGACGAAUAAUACGGCAAACUGACGGAGGGGAUUGCGUCGGAAUAGCUAGUUGGGGGGGUAACGGCCCACCAAGGCGAUGAUCAGUAGCCGGGCUGAGAGGAGGAACGGCCACAGUGGGAAUGAGACACGGCCAAGACUCCUACGGGAGGCAGCAAGGGGGAAUCUUCCGCAAUGGACGAAAGUCUGACGGAGCAACGCCGCGGGAGUGAUGACGGCCUUCGGGUUGUAAAGCUCUGUUAAUCGGGACGCGGUACCGGAAUAGAAAGCCACGACUAACUACGUGCCAGCAGCCGCGGUAAUUC
rnacentral:rRNA from 1 species